rnacentral:rRNA from 1 species
UUAAAAAAGGUAAAUUUACUUUUCCCGAAAUAAAUGGAUCUAAUAAGUAAUAUUAUAUGUGUUUUAAAACAUAAUUUUAUUUUUUAUUAGGGGUGAAAGGCUUAUCAAUUUUUAGGAUAUCUGGAUUAAGUUAUAAUGUAUAUAGUACAGACAUAAUGUUGGGUAAAUUUCUGUUAAGGGAGAGUUAUUUUUAGAAAGCUAAAAUGAUAUUUAUUUAAGAUAACUUUAAAAUAAUCUUAUCUUAAAGUAGAUUUUUUUGUUUUACUUCUUUUUAUAAAACUUUUAAAAAUUUUAAUUAAAAAAUUUUUUAAUAAUGUUAAAAUAAGUAUUUUUAAGUAAACUUUAUUAAGGAACUCGGCAAAAUUUUAUUCAACUGUUUAUCAAAAACAUAGUUUUAUGUGUUUAUAUAAAAUGAAACCUGCCCAAUGAAGUUUUAAUGGCCGCAGUACUUUAACUGUGCUAAGGUAGCAUAAUAAUUUGGCUUUUAAUUAAAGUCUGGUAUGAAAGGAUUAAUGAAUAAAAACUGUCUUAUUGAGAUUAAAAAAAUUACUUAAAAGGUGAAAAUUCCUUUAGUAAGAUAAUAGACGAGAAGACCCUAGGAGUUUACAUUUUGUUGGGGCGACAUUUCAGUAAAAUAACCUAUUUAAAUAAUUUAACGAUUAUAUUAAUUAUAACUAAACUACCCUAGGGAUAACAGCAUAAUUUAAAAAAGAUUGUGACCUCGAUGUUGG